rnacentral:rRNA from 1 species
UACGUAGGGUGCAAGCGUUGUCCGGAAUUAUUGGGCGUAAAGAGCUCGUAGGCGGUUUGUCGCGUCUGCUGUGAAAACUCGAGGCUCAACCUCGGGCUUGCAGUGGGUACGGGCAGACUAGAGUGCGGUAGGGGGUGACUGGAAUUCCUGGUGUAGCGGUGGAAUGCGCAGAUAUCAGGAGGAACACCGAUGGCGAAGGCAGGUCACUGGGCCGCAACUGACGCUGAGGAGCGAAAGCAUGGGGGAGCGAACAGG